GUGCCAGCAGCCGCGGUAAUACCGGCAGCUCAAGUGAUGUCCAAUAUUAUUGGGCCUAAAGCGUCCGUAGCUGGCCACGCAAGUCCGUCGGGAAAUCCACCUGCCCAACAGGUGGGCGUCCGGCGGAAACUGUGUGGCUUGGAACCGGAAGGCUCAGAGGGUACGUCCGGGGUAGGAGUGAAAUCCCGUAAUCCCGGACGGACCACCGAUGGCGAAAGCACUUCGAGAAAACGGACCCGACGGUGAGGGACGAAAGCCAGGGUCUCGAACCGGAUUAGAUACCCUGGUAGUCC
rnacentral:rRNA from 1 species